GGAGACAUAGCUCAGUGGUGGAGCAUGUGCUUGGCAUGCUCGAGGCCCCGGGUUCAAUCCCCAGUGCCUCUG
rnacentral:tRNA from 1 species